GGUACACAUUUUCAAUACGUUUGCAGUAUUUAGGUGGCCUUGAGCGGUAUUAGGCUUACGUUAUAUGACAGUUUGAAAGGAACCUUUAAAACGGUAAUACAUAGUAUGGGAGUUACGUUUCCUUUAGUUUUUAUUAUUGGUAGGAAUGUUAUUAAAAGGUUUUCAUAUGUUUGAUCAAUCAUUUUUAAUCGCAACUCUUUUGAAUGGAAAAGAAUCUCUUAGUUAUGUAAUAUAAAAAUAUUGAGAUAAAAUUAUGUACGUUUUGUACACGACAGAACAGAAUAGAUAUAAUAUAUAAUUUCUAUUGCAUUCGCCGCUUGUUUCUGUCUAUAUAGCUUUAAAGUUGGAAUCUUUUAUUGAUAAAUUAUUAUCAAUAAUAAUUAUUAUUAUACUUGCUGUAACAGACGCAGAACUAUAUAUUCUGUCGGCACACGUUAAUACGGUUUGUUAGCUUUAACUUAUACACUGGUUUACAUAAGGUUUGGUUGGGAUAAUACUGUUCCAGUCUUGGUUGUUUGUACAGUAGUUAUGAACGUGUUUUAUGGCAAACUAGGGGCGCAAUUCUCAAAUCUUGAAUGUCACUUGGACUGCAGGCUGUCUGAAGGCUUUUGAGGAAGAAUCAGGCUCCAGGUAAAAAUGAAAUAUGUACUCUAGCCCCACCAAACUUCUUUCACGAUCGCUAGUUUGUAAUGAAUUGAUUGCAUAAAACCUAGAAGUGUUCAGGUUUAAUUCAGUCUAAUUUCGCUAAUUCCUGUUAAGGUUGAUUGUUGACUAAUACUAUGCCUUUUAUUUCAUAAAAGUAUCAAAUAUUUAUUUUAAAUCCACGAUUAGCAGGCGUUGGUAAAAUUGGCACAUUGUAAUUGCUCAUACAUAGUGUAGUAAAGUGAUUUAUUACACUAUACUACUUGUUAUUUCAGUCUUUACGAACGCUUGGAACAAUGAUCGAUAUUUGACCAAGACAAUAUAUUUUUUAAGUCAUGAUAACAAAUCUCUUCUUGUCUUGUUUGGCUGCUUAAUGAACUAUUUUUCAUAUUCUAAACGAGGCUAAAUGUAUAAGGAUGUUUGAUCUGAAAAAAGAUCAAUUUUAUUGAUAAAGUUUUUUUUUUGUUGAUCUGUUUUUAUUGUAUCUUUACGUUGUAGUUUAGCGCACAAUUUUUAUGUACUAGUUUUGAAAUGUUUGUGAAUGGAGAUUGCAGCCUGUACAUACAACUGUAUUGUGUAUACUUAUAAAUUCUAACCCCACACAUUCUAAAUAGUUAAAACUCAAGCAGCAGGCUUGCUCUUUUGAUAUUAUUGAUUUAUUUUUCUCUUAAAAAUAUCUCGAGUAUUUACGUCUAAUCCCAGUGAUAUUCUAUAGGUUUAUGCCAAAUUUCACCAAAGUCUGUUAGUGUUAACAGCUUGUUACAAUGUCAUGUCUUAUCUUUCAUUCAUAUGAAAAACAAAAACAUGAUACUAAUUCGAACAUUACCUUUAACAGUUGUUGGUGAAAUUAGGCCUUAGUGUUAAUAUUGCCGUCUAUGUAUACAUAUUGUAUGGAAGCCGACAAGCCGGGUAACACUUGGACUUUAUUGCUAUAAUAAGGCCGUUUGUCUAGCGCUUAGGUUGUAUUUUACUUUACGCCACUACGAAGCAGCGGUGGCAUGGGUCGCUAGACCAAUGUCAGUAGAAAAUGAAACCUAUAUGCUAUAUAGCCCAGGUCAUAAAGUAGCAUUUUAUCGGCCCAAAAUAAUCUCAUUCUCGGUAGACAAACGGCCUAAGUUUUGAAGUGUGGCACACUGUAUUUGUCGGUGACUAUAUAAGGGACCGCGCGCACGGUUGGCAAAAAUGUAUAAUAUAAAAUAGUGGAACUGCGAUCCUGAUUAUUAAGACUAUUUUCUAUAACACGACUAUUGGAUUGUACGUACUUACAACAAAAAAUUCACAUUUUGCGGAGAAGUAGGCUCUAUUUUGCGAAGCCAAAGUUUAAUCAUAUUGGUAAUAGCAAGCGACGGAAACAUUUCGGUUGACCGUGCACGUGGGGUCUAAGAUAUCACAUUGAAUGUAAAUCACACUGCCAUGUUGACUUCAUUUGUCAUUAUUGUUAAAUGUAUAGUGAUUUUAAACACCAGUCAUUCAGUAGUUAAGAUUGUUUUUAUAACAUGCUUGGGCAAUGUUAUAUAGAGAUUCCGAGGUUUUUGUAACUGUAUUGUAGAACGAUGUAACUUGAUGUCUAUAUAAAAGCCUAGCGGUUGCCCAAAUGUAUGUAAAUUAUCUAUUUUCUUAGCCUAAUUAUGAGUCAUAUCAAUGAGAUUAAAUUCCGUAAUUAGUAUU